rnacentral:rRNA from 1 species
GCUGGCGGCACGCCUAACACAUGCAAGUCGAACGAAGUAGCAAUACUUAGUGGCAGACGGGUGAGUAACAUGUGGGUAUCUUCCCUUUGGCCUGGAAUAACACGAGGAAACUUGUGCUAAUACCGGAUAAGUCUUUACGGAGAAAGCUUUAUGCACCAUUGGAUGAGCCCGCACUUGAUUAGUUUGUUGGUAGGGUAAUGGCCUACCAAGACUUUGAUCAAUAGCUGAUUUGAGAGGAUGAUCAGCCACAUUGGGACUGAGACACGGCCCAAACUCCUACGGGAGGCAGCAGUGGGGAAUCUUGCACAAUGGAGGAAACUCUGAUGCAGCGAUGCCGCGUGAGUGAAGAAGGCCCUUGGGUUGUAAAGCUCUUUCGUCGGGGAAGAAAAUGACUGUACCCGAAUAAGAAGGUCCGGCUAACUUCGUGCCAGCAGCCGCGGUAAUACGAAGGGACCUAGCGUAGUUCGGAAUUACUGGGCUUAAAGAGUUCGUAGGUGGUUGAAAAAGUUGGUGGUGAAAUCCCAGAGCUUAACUCUGGAACUGCCAUCAAAACUUUUCAGCUAGAGUUUGAUAGAGGAAAGCAGAAUUUCUAGUGUAGAGGUGAAAUUCGUAGAUAUUAGAAAGAAUACCAAUUGCGAAGGCAGCUUUCUGGAUCAUUACUGACACUGAGGAACGAAAGCAUGGGUAGCGAAGAGGAUUAGAUACCCUCGUAGUCCAUGCCGUAAACGAUGUGUGUUAGACGUUGGAAAUUUAUUUUCAGUGUCGCAGCGAAAGCGAUAAACACACCGCCUGGGGAGUACGA